rnacentral:rRNA from 1 species
GACGAACGCUGGCGGCGUGCCUAAUACAUGCAAGUCGAGCGAGUCUGCCUUGAAGAUCGGAGUGCUUGCACUCUGUGAAACAAGAUACAGGCUAGCGGCGGACGGGUGAGUAACACGUGGGUAACCUGCCCAAGAGAUCGGGAUAACACCUGGAAGCAGAUGCUAAUACCGGAUAACAACAGAUGAUGCCUAUCAACUGUUUAAAAGAUGGUUCUGCUAUCACUCUUGGAUGGACCUGCGGUGCAUUAGCUAGUUGGUAGGGUAACGGCCUACCAAGGCGAUGAUGCAUAGCCGAGUUGAGAGACUGAUCGGCCACAUUGGGACUGAGACACGGCCCAAACUCCUACGGGAGGCAGCAGUAGGGAAUCUUCCACAAUGGACGCAAGUCUGAUGGAGCAACGCCGCGUGAGUGAAGAAGGGUUUCGGCUCGUAAAGCUCUGUUGUUGGUGAAGAAGGACAGGGGUAGUAACUGACCUUUGUUUGACGGUAAUCAAUUAGAAAGUCACGGCUAACUAAGUG